CAGUGGAAACAGCAACAUCUUCACCCCUUGGCCGUUGUAACCCAGGUGUCCCCAUGGUUGCAGAUUGUAAAGGCUGCAAAACCACACAGGCAAUAGCAGGAGGAGGAGCAGGGAGCAGAAUGUGAGAGCCAAUCACUUGGAAACCCAGAGACUUUCCCGGCUGUAGCUCUGAGGCAAUGGUUCCUAGUGGCUACCACGCUGCCGCACCUAGAGGAAGACCCAAGAGCAUCAGAGAGACUGGAUCAUUUGCUUAUUAAGCUGGGCCCACCUGUGAUAAACCCUGAGGUCCAGCUGCACUUAUCAGAGGUUCCAGGCACAUCUCAGAACCGAACUGAUAAAUUCCCAAAUGGUUAUGGAGGAGGAUGACACAGAAGAGGCACCUAAACCACUGGGACACUAUAUUCGAGAGGGUUUGAAGCAGCUGUACCAGGAGCAGCGACUGUGUGAUGCCACCAUAGUGGC